rnacentral:lncRNA from 1 species
ACUGUUGGAUAAGGUGUCUAAGUCCAUAACUUAUUUGGUAUAUACUUGACCCGACCGGCAUGGUCCAUUUGGGUUGCAUCUCAUCCAAACUAUUUAUGGAUAAUUUUAUGAGAGUUAUACACAUAUGUUUAUUAAUAUAUUAUAAGUUAUAAUAUAUUAAUAUGAAGUUAUGUUAUUUAAUUAGUCUUAGUCUUAAAUUAAUUAUGAAUUAAUUUAGAGAUUAAAAGGAAGACUAAUUAGAUUAUGGGCUAUUGGUUUUAUAUAGUGUGGGCUAAUACUCAUUUGUUAAUGGGCUAGGCUUAUAUGGAAGUCCAUGGAUGAUCCGUGGAGCUUUUAACCCAUGGAUCCUUGGAAAGGAAAAGACAUGGGUUAUUAGGGUUUCACCCUAACCAUGCACACUAUAUAAGCAUGCUUAUGGAGCAUGAAAUGGAAACUAGUGAACUAGUGUGUGUGAGCUUGUGUGUGGCCAAAAAUAUACAAGUGUGUAUACUCUCUCAAGUUUUCCAAGAGUUUAUGGUGUUUUGUGAUUCCAUUUGAGGCAUUCACACUAUUGGUGCUUGGCCCUCAAACUCCUCAAAAACCAAACUCAUCAAAAAGGUAUGUAAUCUCUUCUAACUCUUUAUGUUGAAAUGUUCCCCAUGCCAUGUUAGAUAGGUUAUAUACCUUGGAAAAAUUAUUAUUUUGCAUGUAUUUAGACAAACAUAGAUCCAAGGUUUAUUAGGGUUGCAUGCACACUUAGGAAGUGUUAGAUUGCUCAAAACCCAACAGUGGUAUCAGAGCCUAGGCUUGCUUGUUUGAUACUUGAUGCAAAAUAGUGAAAAAAGUCGAAAUCGUUGCUGUCUGCAUGCUAGACUCGCCGAGUCCAUUGGGGGGACUCGCCGAGUCCAAGGCAAACUUCAACCUACUCGACGAGUCCGUUCGUGCACUCGGCGAGUAGGAUCGAAAGAAUGCAGAAUCUCGACUUUUGCUGCUGGAAAUGGACUGGAAACAUUACCCUAAAUUGUUUUGGUGUUGUAAAACUUAUUUUAGUUGGUGUAAUGGUUGUUCUAAUCCAUUUACAAUAGCAUAUAUCAAAAAUCCAUGAUUUUAUGUGUUCAUAUAAUUCUUGAAUUUUUGAUGAUCAUGUUCAUGUUCUUAUGAAUUUAGAAAAUGAUAGGAAUUAUUUGCUGAAUUGUUUAGAAUUAAUUCUUAAUCAUUUAUGUGUUUUAAUGGAGUCCAUAAUUUGUCCUCAAGUUAUGGAUUACCAAAGGUCACUUUCAUUUAACACACACUUAAAACACAUAAGUUACAUGAAAAUGAAGAGUCUUCAUUUUUAUGAACCUUUAAUUCAUAAGUUAUGAAAUGAAGAGUUUUGCAAAGUUACAAAACUUGUCCUCAAGUUUUGGAAUUUGUAAAGUUUCACACACUUUAAUAAACUUUAAUUCCAAACCUUAGAGUUUUAAUAGUUAAAAUUCAACCCUUAUACUAUUUAUAACAUUAAUGGUUAAUUAUUAUAUAUAUGUAUAAGAAUAAGUCGUUUUACCGUUAGUAGGCCUCAUUCACGAAGCCGGUCUAUAAGGUGGGUAUAAGGUUGUUGCCUAUAAAAUGGCGACUUAAUGGGUGUAUACUCUCACCCACCGCUUGCUUGAUCGGUGGAGGGUCGUUAGCCGAACGGGUAGAACAACGACUUUAAAUCCUCAUUAAAAGUAUAAUGAAUAUUAUAAAAUAACUAAACUCUUUUAAUUCCCAAUCUUAGUUAUUUUAGGAAAAUGUGAACAUGGUGCUAAUCCAUGGAAUUCACACUUUGUACCUUACCAAGUCGUUAGUGGAGCGUGUGUGGUUAACCGGCACACUAAUUAGACUAGUAAGGAUCACGAAGGGUAACUUAAUGUUGUCAUAGAUCAAUGGAGCGUGUGUGGUUAACCGGCACAUUGAUUAGGUGAUAAUAUUAGGAGUACCAAGUGAGUUAGCAUGGUUAUUCACACCUUGUUUUGUGAUCCUCGGCAUCCCAGUCACAAAACUUGAAGGGCACAAUCGAGAUUGAAACAUGCCAUUGAAAAGUUCAAUGAAUCUCAAAAGAAUCUAGGAAUUUCAAAUCCAAUUAAACCUAAUUAAUCAUUUCGUUUUCAUGGUGGAAAUUGGUGAAUCGUCAUUCGCCUACCUUUCAAAUAUAUUAUUACUUAGAUUACGGCAUCCCUCUUCUAAGUGUAAUAUAUUGUGAUUGGAUCCUAGCCUUAAUAUUACAUUUGGGUGUCUUAUUAAGGAUCCUAAAUAUCUAAUCUAAACUUACUUUCUUCUUUCAGAUGUCUUCCAACACUAAUGCUUCAGGCUCUAACCCAACUGGUUCUUUCUCUCUCAUGAAUCUUUGUGGGAGGGUCAUCUUUGAUGGUUCCAACUUCAUGGAUUGGAUUAGGAACAUCAGGAUGGUUACUCGUUACGAGGACAAGGAAUAUGUCCUCGAUAAGGAGUUAAAAGAACUUGAUGAGUCUACUGCUACUCCUGAGGAGAUCGCUGAAUUCAGGACUCAUGAGAGAGAUGCUACUAAGGUGGCAUGUAUCAUGAUGGCCACGAUGACAGCCGAGCUCCAAAAGUCAUAUGAAGAUUUCUACCCUUUUGAGAUGCACCAAGACUUGAUGGAAAGGUACCAUCAGAGUGCUCGUCAGGAGCGGUAUGAAAUAAUCUCCUCCAUAAUAACUACCCGCAUGAAGGACGGUGAAUCCGUCACGGGCCACAUGCAAAAGAUGCAAAGGUAUGUGGACCGUUUGCUGAAGCUGAAUGUUAACAUCCCCGAGGAGUUAGCAAUUGACAUCAUUUUGCACUCCUUGCCUUCUUGUUAUGAUCAUUUUCGAAUGACAUAUCAUAUGAACAAGGAGGAAGUUACCCUCAGCAAGCUUCAAGGACUCUUGAAGACCGCUGAAACCGGUCUUAAGGGUAAAGCGGUUGUUACCUCUACUACUCCUACUCCAACUUCUACCCCUGUUUUAGCUAUUGGGCAAGGCAAAGGGAAAAAGAGGAAGCACCCUUCGAAGGGUACCAAGGGAAAGUCUCUUGAAGGCUCCUCAUCCAAGACUAAGAACGGUUCUGUCACUCCUUCUGCCAUUCCAAAGGAUGCUGAAUGCUUUUAUUGCCAUGAAAAGGCACACUGGAAGCGAAACUGCCCUAAGUACUUGCAGGAUCUAAAGGAUGGGAAAGUGAAACCCACCUAUGCAGGUAUUUACACUAUAUUGUCUAAUUACUCAACAUAUUCUAACUCUUGGGUGCUUGAUACAGGAUGUGGUAUUCACAUAUGUUCUGAUUUGCAGGGCCUAAGAAGAAGUGAGGAUGUGGAGCACGGGAAGAUAAACUUAAUCAUGGGGAAUAGGAAGGCUUCACCUGUUUCCAAGAUUGGAGUUUAUACUUUGUUGCUUAAUAAUGGGUUAAAAUUAGAUUUGAAUAAAUGUGUAUACUCGUCUGAAAUGGCGAGGAAUAUUAUUUCUUUUCAUGCUUUGUACAAACAAGGUUUUACCUUUUCGUUUGAUAAUGAAUGUGGUGGUAUUAAUGCUUUCUUUAAUAAUGUGUUUUAUUUUAAAGCAUUACCUUGUGAUGGCGUGUAUGAAACUGUGUCGAUUGUAGACAACUUAGGAAAUAAUGUGUUGUAUAUUGAUUCUUCUACUAGCCUAGAUAAAGCAUCAUUGUGGCAUUGUCGUCUUGGACAUGUAAACAAGAAACGCAUAGACCAACUCCAAAAGAGUGGAGUCUUGGAAUCAUUUGACCUCAAAUCAGAUGAUAGUUGUGAAUCUUGUCUACUUGGAAAAAUGACAAAAUCACCCUUCACUGGAACUUGUGAGAGGGGUGAAGGUUUGUUGGACCUAAUACAUACUGAUGUAUGUGGGCCAUUCAAAACCGCCACAAGGGACGCUAAUCGGUAUUAUGUGACUUUUAUUGAUGAUUAUAGUAGAUAUGGGUAUGUCUACUUGAUCAAACACAAGUCCGAAACCUUUGAAAGGUUUAAGGAAUUCAAACAGGAAGUAGAAAAUCAAUUGGGCAGGAACAUUAAGAUGCUUCGAUCCGAUCGAGGUGGUGAGUAUCUUAGUACCGAGUUCCUUGACUAUCUUAAGGAGUGUGGGAUUGUCUCACAAUUGACUCCUCCCAGGACACCACAGCUGAAUGGUGUAGCUGAGAGGCGUAAUCGUACCUUGUUGGACAUGGUUCGCUCUAUGAUGAGUCGAGUUUCGUUACCAAUCUCUUUUUGGGGGUAUGCCUUAGAGACUGCCGCCCAUAUCCUUAAUCUAGUCCCUACAAAGAAGGUUACCAAAACACCUCAUGAAAUGUGGACUGGGAAGGUUCCCAAUUUGGACCACAUCAAAAUUUGGGGUUGCGAAGCCUUCGUGAGGCGUGAAACUCAUGAUAAGCUUGAACCCCGAAGUGAAAGGUGUAUUUUCAUCGGCUACCCACAGAAAUCCUUCGGUUACCUUUUCUACAGACCCAGUGAGAAUGUGGUCUUUGUAGCACGAAGAGGGAUCUUUCGCGAGAAAGAAUUUAUAAGCCAAGGAGACAGUGGGAGGCAGAUUGAUCUUGAAGAAAUUCAAGAAUCAAUUGGUGAAGGAACCUCAGACACUAGCAAUCAACCUGAGGAAGAAACUCCUGUUGAUCCAGCUGACGAGUCUGUACCUCCGAGACGUUCCACACGGGUUAGGAACACACCUUCGUUUUAUUAUGGUUUUCAUAUUACUACGGAAGGUGAUACGUUUAUUAGUGAUAGUACACUAGUAAAUUUGGAUGAACCUAGCAGUGUUAAGGAAGCCAUGGCAGGCCCGGAGUCUGCUAAAUGGAAGGAGGCUAUGGACAGCGAGAUACAGUCCAUGUAUGACAAUCAAGUUUGGAACUUGGUUGACAAUGUACCAGGCCGUAAAACAGUCGGGUGCAAAUGGAUCUUCAAAAAGAAGACCGACAUGGAAGGAAAAGUGCAUACUUAUAAGGCUCGACUGGUUGCGAAGGGUUUUACUCAAACUCAAGGUAUUGAUUAUGAUGAAACCUUCUCGCCGGUGGCCAAGAUUAAGUCUAUUAGGGUUAUGUUAGCCAUUGCAGCAUUUCAUGAUUAUGAAAUAUGGCAAAUGGAUGUCAAAACCGCUUUCCUUAAUGGAAAGUUGGCUGAGGAUGUGUACAUGAAUCAGCCAGAGGGUUUUGUCAAUGCAGAGUACCCUAAUAGAGUAUGCAAGCUUAAGAAAUCCAUUUAUGGAUUAAAACAAGCAUCUCGUAGCUGGAAUCUUUGUUUUGAUGAGAAGGUAAAAGAGUUUGGCUUCUUGAGAAGCGAAGAUGAGUCUUGCGUGUAUGUCAGAGCUAGUGGGAGUAUAGUUAGCUUCUUGGUACUGUAUGUGGAUGACAUACUACUCAUAGGAAAUGACAUCCCAACCUUGCAGGAGGUUAAGUCCUGGCUUGGGAAGUGCUUUGCUAUGAAGGACCUAGGGGAGGCUACCUAUAUCCUAGGGAUAAGGAUAUUAAGAGAAAGGAGUAGAAGACUAAUUGGACUUAGUCAGAGUAUCUACUUGGAUAAGGUGUUGAAAAGGUUCAACAUGGAGAAUUCCAAGAAAGGAGAUUUACCGAUCCAAAGCAAUACCAAACUGAGUAAGACUCAGAGUCCGAGUACAGAGGCUGAGAUAGCUGAGAUGAGCCAAUUACCAUAUGCUUCCGCAGUUGGCUCGAUCAUGUAUGCUAUGACUUGUACCCGUCCUGAUGUGGCAUUUGCUUUGAGCAUGGUCAGCAGGUAUCAGGGGAACCCUGGCAAGGCUCAUUGGACCGCGGUAAAGAACAUUCUCAAGUACCUGCGGAGGACUAAGGAUUGGGUCCUUACCCUUGGUGGCAGUGAUGACUUGAGAAUAUUAGGGUAUAGUGAUGCUGGUUUUCAGACUGAUAGGGAUAAUUUCCGCUCUCAGUCGGGCUGGAUCUUUACCUUAAAUGGAGGGGCAAUUUCUUGGAAGAGUUCCAAGCAGGAGACGGUGGCUGAUUCGACUUGUGAAUCAGAGUAUAUAGCAGCGAGUGAAGCAGCGAAGGAGGCGAUAUGGCUAAAGAACUUCAUCGGAGACCUUGGAGUUGUACCAGCUAUUAAGGAACCUAUAGAGAUUUUCUGUGACAACAAUGCUGCGGUUAUCUUAGCCAAGGAACCAAGAGAUCAUGGCAGAUCCCGACACAUUGACAGAAAAUAUCACUUCAUAAGGCACAAGAUUGAAGAAGGACUCCUUGUGACAAGGAGGAUAUCGUCAGAUGAGAAUCCUGCAGAUCCCCUUACGAAGGGACUGACGAGGGUUAAGCAUUUUCAGCAUGCGAGACGCAUCGGGCUGAGGGACGAUAUUAGUUUUACAGAUUAGAUAGUUUUCCUGAAACUUGUAAAAUGUAAUCGACGUUUGAUGAUGAAUAAAAUUUGUGAUUUAUUUAUGAGUAAAGUGUUACUAUCAUUGUCAAUUAUUUACUAUUGUUUCAGUUUUGCAUGUUUUGACUUCCAGAAUAAUUAAUUUGUUCAAACCUCCACAAUCGAUCAUACGUCGGAAGUAGGUAUGAAUCAAGAUUGUCAUGAAUUGGGUUUGUAGAUGCCUUAAAGGUGUUUAGGCAUGGCAAUGGUUGCUGCAACAUUCAUGAGUACUCAUAAGUUAUGAGUAUUGGUAUAAACCCACGCUCACUUGUAUCACUUCAUGGAAUUUAUCUCGAGUGAUCGUGAGACGAUAACAUCAUAUAAAUCUUUAAACCUAGAGAUAUGAGUUGUUACCUAUGAGUUGGUUGUGCAUUGAUUGCACGUAAACGCAUCAGUAACUUGAUGUUAUAAAACGUGCCUUUGUGUACAAUUCAAUAAGUAGUAGAACAAGCAUAUCAGUCGAAGUUUAUCUGUUCCUUCUAGAAAUAGAAGCGAUAUCCGGGCCCCUCGAUGAUUUUGUGUUGACCCAUAUACCAGGCCUGGUCAGAACUAAACCGAUGUGUUCAGUGAAGUUCUUCGUCAAACAAAUCGGAUAAUCGAGAAACAACUGCUAGACAAUAAGCAAGACAUAGUUCCAUGUGUUUGUCCGGCUGAUAUCAUGAGAACAGAGGAUUAUGUGAUCACUUAUCUAAAAUGGCGCUUCAUAGUUCGACAGAGUCUUCAUUGUUCGAGGGAGUUUUCGAGAGCUACGAUUGUUGGUUGGUUCCUGAAGUUAUAGGCAAAUAUAGUUAUUAGACUUAUCCAAGUGGGAGUCUGUUGGAUAAGGUGUCUAAGUCCAUAACUUAUUUGGUAUAUACUUGACCCGACCGGCAUGGUCCAUUUGGGUUGCAUCUCAUCCAAACUAUUUAUGGAUAAUUUUAUGAGAGUUAUACACAUAUGUUUAUUAAUAUAUUAUAAGUUAUAAUAUAUUAAUAUGAAGUUAUGUUAUUUAAUUAGUAUUAGUCUUAAAUUAAUUAUGAAUUAAUUUAGAGAUUAAAAGGAAGACUAAUUAGAUUAUGGGCUAUUGGUUUUAUAUGGUGUGGGCUAACACUCAUUUGUUAAUGGGCUAGGCUUAUAUGGAAGUCCAUGGAUGAUCCAUGGAGCUUUUAACCCAUGGAUCCUUGGAAAAGGAAAGGUCAUGGGUUAUUAGGGUUUCACCCUAACCAUGCACACUAUAUAAGCAUGCUUAUGGAGCAUGAAAUGGCAACUAGUGAACUAGUGUGUGUGAGCUUGUGUGUGGCCGAAAUAUACAAGUGUGUAUACUCUCUCAAAGUUUUCCAAGAGUUUGUGGUGUUUUGUGAUUCCAUUUGAGGCAUUCACACUAUUGGUGCUUGGCCCUCAAACUCCUCAAGAAUCAAACUCAUCAAAAAGGUAUGUAAUCUCUUCUAACUCUUUUAUGUUGAAAUGUUCCCCAUGCCAUGUUAGAUAGGUUAUGAACCUUGGAAAAUUAUUAUUUUGCAUGUAUUUAGACAAACAUAGAUCCAAGGUUUAUUAGGGUUGCAUGCACACUUAGGAAGUGUUAGAUUGCUC